rnacentral:pre_miRNA from 1 species
UUUAAGUACAGCUAUUGGUUUUUAUGUCAUAUGUUUGACCGUCCAUUUAGAACUUUUUUUUUAUUAGAUGAUAAAAUGUGAAUAUUAUUUUAUGUGUGACUUGUUUUUUUAAUUCUUUCAUAAAUUUUUUAAAUAAAACGAACGGAUAAAUAUUGGACAUAGAAAUUUACAACUGUAUUUAAU